CGUGAGAAUCUGGCUUUAGGUCGGGGACAACAGUUGGAAACGACUGCUAAUACCGGAUAUGCCGAGAGGUGAAAGAUUAAUUGCCUGAAGAAGAGCUCGCGUCUGAUUAGCUAGUUGGUGGGGUAAGAGCUUACCAAGGCGACGAUCAGUAGCUGGUCUGAGAGGACGAUCAGCCACACUGGGACUGAGACACGGCCCAGACUCCUACGGGAGGCAGCAGUGGGGAAUUUUCCGCAAUGGGCGAAAGCCUGACGGAGCAACACCGCGUGAGGGAGGAAGGCUCUUGGGUUGUAAACCUCUUUUCUUAGGGAAGAAAAAAAUGACGGUACCUAAGGAAUCAGCAUCGGCUAACUCCGUGCCAGCAGUCGCGGUAAUACGGAGGAUGCAAGCGUUAUCCGGAAUGAUUGGGCGUAAAGCGUCCGCAGGUGGCAUUUCAAGUCUGCGGUCAAAGGUCGAGGCUCAACCUCGAACAGGCCGUGGAAACUGAAAAGCUAGAGUGUGGUAGGGGCAGA
rnacentral:rRNA from 1 species